rnacentral:misc_RNA from 1 species
UUGUCAGAAGGUUUCAUUCUACAAUCACUAGUGAACUGACUCUCUUAAUUUGGAAAGACAAGUGAAGUCAACAAACAUGGUAAAAAAUCAAAAAGCUCCAAUAUAUGGAGGCAGCAAGCGUAAAAGGCAAGAAAAAUACCCUUACACUUCAAAAUUCCCUAAACAGACUCGUGCUAACGGUGAAAAUGGCGCAGAAAAAGAGCUGCACUUGAGAAAGAAGACGGCCAUCUCACAGGUCUCACUCCAAAUAUUCCACAAUUUGUGAAAUGCUUGAAAGGCUAUAAUGUGAAAAAGUCCUGGUGCUUCCUGGGACGGAGCCACCAGUCAAGAUACGGAUUUUG